GCUUCUCUGAUGUUAGCGGCGGACGCCCUGAGUAACACGUGGGUAACCUACCUAUAAGACUGGGAUAACUCCGGGAAACCGGGGCUAAUACCGGAUAAUAUUUUGAACCGCAUGGUUCAAUAGUGAAAGACGGUUUCGGCUGUCACUUAUAGAUGGACCCGCGCCGUAUUAGCUAGUUGGUAAGGUAAUGGCUUACCAAGGCGACGAUACGUAGCCGACCUGAGAGGGUGAUCGGCCACACUGGAACUGAGACACGGUCCAGACUCCUACGGGAGGCAGCAGUAGGGAAUCUUCCGCAAUGGGCGAAAGCCUGACGGAGCAACGCCGCGUGAGUGAUGAAGGUCUUCGGAUCGUAAAACUCUGUUGUUAGGGAAGAACAAAUUUGUUAGUAACUGAACAAGUCUUGACGGUACCUAACCAGAAAGCCACGGCUAACUACGUGCCAGCAGCCGCGGUAAUACGUAGGUGGCAAGCGUUAUCCGGAAUUAUUGGGCGUAAAGCGCGCGUAGGCGGUUUCUUAAGUCUGAUGUGAAAGCCCACGGCUCAACCGUGGAGGGUCAUUGGAAACUGGGAAACUUGAGUGCAGAAGAGGAGAGUGGAAUUCCAUGUGUAGCGGUGAAAUGCGCAAAGAUAUGGAGGAACACCAGUG
rnacentral:rRNA from 1 species